UCACAAGGUAGACCUGAGAGAUAGGAUUCUC
rnacentral:piRNA from 1 species